rnacentral:lncRNA from 1 species
GCAUUUGCGCUAUGGUGUUUUAUUCUAUACCAUAGGUUCAGAAGCACGAGCUCCAGAGCAUCAGUAGCUUUCCAAUUUCUGCAGCCAGAGUUAGCAGUGAAUCCUUAUCCUUCGAGGACAUGAUUAUUACUUUAUGUUAUCAUUUAUUUCAGUUCAGUUUUACUAGACGGAGUUAGUUAGAGAUAUGUUUCUUCAACUCCUUAUUCAGACAGUUUAG